GACGAACGCUGGCGGCGUGCUUAACACAUGCAAGUCGAACGGAAAGGCCCUGCUUUUGUGGGGUGCUCGAGUGGCGAACGGGUGAGUAACACGUGAGUAACCUGCCCCUGACUUUGGGAUAACUUCAGGAAACUGGGGCUAAUACCGGAUAGGGGCUCCUGCUGCAUGGUGGGGGUUGGAAAGUUUCGGCGGUUGGGGAUGGACUCGCGGCUUAUCAGCUUGUUGGUGGGGUAGUGGCUUACCAAGGCUUUGACGGGUAGCCGGCCUGAGAGGGUGACCGGCCACAUUGGGACUGAGAUACGGCCCAGACUCCUACGGGAGGCAGCAGUGGGGAAUAUUGCACAAUGGGCGGAAGCCUGAUGCAGCAACGCCGCGUGCGGGAUGACGGCCUUCGGGUUGUAAACCGCUUUCGCCUGUGACGAAGCGUGAGUGACGGUAAUGGGUAAAGAAGCACCGGCUAACUACGUG
rnacentral:rRNA from 1 species